rnacentral:rRNA from 1 species
CCAGCAGGGCUAUAGCGUCACAACGGCGAGUGAAGCGGCAAAAGCUCAAAUUUGAAAUCUGGCACCUUCGGUGUCCGAGUUGUAAUUUGAAGAAGGUAACUUUGGAGUUGGCUCUUGUCUAUGUUCCUUGGAACAGGACGUCACAGAGGGUGAGAAUCCCGUGCGAUGAGAUGCCCAAUUCUAUGUAAAGUGCUUUCGAAGAGUCGAGUUGUUUGGGAAUGCAGCUCUAAGUGGGUGGUAAAUUCCAUCUAAAGCUAAAUAUUGGCGAGAGACCGAUAGCGAACAAGUACAGUGAUGGAAAGAUGAAAAGAACUUUGAAAAGAGAGUGAAAAAGUACGUGAAAUUGUUGAAAGGGAAGGGCUUGAGAUCAGACUUGGUAUUUUGCGAUCCUUUCCUUCUUGGUUGGGUUCCUCGCAGCUUACUGGGCCAGCAUCGGUUUGGAUGGUAGGAUAAUGACUAAGGAAUGUGGCUCUACUUCGGUGGAGUGUUAUAGCCUUGGUUGAUACUGCCUGUCUAGACCGAGGACUGCGUCUUUUGACUAGGAUGUUGGCAUAAUGAUCUUAAGCCACCCCUCUUGAACAACAAGACCAAAAAAUUUUUUUUUUUUUUGGUUUGGCGCGUCUGUCUGCUAUUGGCCUAAGUUUGAUUGUUUUUUCCUUGUGUUUUUUUUUUCU